CCUGGCUCAGGAUGAACGCUAGCUACAGGCUUAACACAUGCAAGUCGAGGGGCAGCAUGGUCUUAGCUUGCUAAGGCCGAUGGCGACCGGCGCACGGGUGAGCAACACGUAUCCAACCUGCCGUCUACUCUUGGACAGCCUUCUGAAAGGAAGAUUAAUACAAGAUGGCAUCAUGAGUCCGCAUGUUCACAUGAUUAAAGGUAUUCCGGUAGACGAUGGGGAUGCGUUCCAUUAGAUAGUAGGCGGGGUAACGGCCCACCUAGUCUUCGAUGGAUAGGGGUUCUGAGAGGAAGGUCCCCCACAUUGGAACUGAGACACGGUCCAAACUCCUACGGGAGGCAGCAGUGAGGAAUAUUGGUCAAUGGGCGAGAGCCUGAACCAGCCAAGUAGCGUGAAGGAUGACUGCCCUAUGGGUUGUAAACUUCUUUUAUAAAGGAAUAAAGUCGGGUAUGGAUACCCGUUUGCAUGUACUUUAUGAAUAAGGAUCGGCUAACUCCGUGCCAGCAGCCGCGGUAAUACGGAGGAUCCGAGCGUUAUCCGGAUUUAUUGGGUUUAAAGGGAGCGUAGAUGGAUGUUUAAGUCAGUUGUGAAAGUUUGCGGCUCAACCGUAAAAUUGCAGUUGAUACUGGAUAUCUUGAGUGCAGUUGAGGCAGGCGGAAUUCGUGGUGUAGCGGUGAAAUGCUUAGAUAUCACGAAGAACUCCGAUUGCGAAGGCAGCCUGCUAAGCUGCAACUGACAUUGAGGCUCGAAAGUGUGGGUAUCAAACAGGAUUAGAUACCCUGGUAGUCCACACGGUAAACGAUGAAUACUCGCUGUUUGCGAUAUACUGCAAGCGGCCAAGCGAAAGCGUUAAGUAUUCCACCUGGGGAGUACGCCGGCAACGGUGAAACUCAAAGGAAUUGACGGGGGCCCGCACAAGCGGAGGAACAUGUGGUUUAAUUCGAUGAUACGCGAGGAACCUUACCCGGGCUUAAAUUGCAGAUGAAUUACGGUGAAAGCCGUAAGCCGCAAGGCAUCUGUGAAGGUGCUGCAUGGUUGUCGUCAGCUCGUGCCGUGAGGUGUCGGCUUAAGUGCCAUAACGAGCGCAACCCUUGUUGUCAGUUACUAACAGGUUCCGCUGAGGACUCUGACAAGACUGCCAUCGUAAGAUGUGAGGAAGGUGGGGAUGACGUCAAAUCAGCACGGCCCUUACGUCCGGGGCUACACACGUGUUACAAUGGGGGGUACAGAGGGCCGCUACCACGCGAGUGGAUGCCAAUCCCCAAAACCUCUCUCAGUUCGGACUGGAGUCUGCAACCCGACUCCACGAAGCUGGAUUCGCUAGUAAUCGCGCAUCAGCCACGGCGCGGUGAAUACGUUCCCGGGCCUUGCACACACCGCC
rnacentral:rRNA from 1 species